rnacentral:rRNA from 1 species
AGUCGAGCGGAUGAAGGGAGCUUGCUCCUGGAUUUAGCGGCGGACGGGUGAGUAAUGCCUAGGAAUCUGCCUGGUAGUGGGGGAUAACGUUCCGAAAGGAACGCUAAUACCGCGUACGUCCUACGGGAGAAAGCAGGGGACCUUCGGGCCUUGCGCUAUCAGAUGAGCCUAGGUCGGAUUAGCUAGUUGGUGAGGUAAUGGCUCACCAAGGCGACGAUCCGUAACUGGUCUGAGAGGAUGAUCAGUCACACUGGAACUGAGACACGGUCCAGACUCCUACGGGAGGCAGCAGUGGGGAAUAUUGGACAAUGGGCGAAAGCCUGAUCCAGCCAUGCCGCGUGUGUGAAGAAGGUCUUCGGAUUGUAAAGCACUUUAAGUUGGGAGGAAGGGUUGUACGUUAAUACCGUGCAAUUUUGACGUUACCGACAGAAUAAGCACCGGCUAACUUCGUGCCAGCAGCCGCGGUAAUACGAAGGGUGCAAGCGUUAAUCGGAAUUACUGGGCGUAAAGCGCGCGUAGGUGGUUCAGUAAGUUGGAAGUGAAAUCCCCGGGCUCAACCUGGGAACUGCUUUCAAAACUGCUGAGCUAGAGUACGGUAGAGGGUAGUGGAAUUUCCUGUGUAGCG